UACGAAGGGGGCUAGCGUUGUUCGGAAUUACUGGGCGUAAAGCGCACGUAGGCGGAAUGUUAAGUCAGGGGUGAAAUCCCGGGGCCUCAACCCCGGAACUGCCUUUGAUACUGGCAUUCUCGAGUCCGGAAGAGGUGAGUGGAAUUCCGAGUGUAGAGGUGAAAUUCGUAGAUAUUCGGAGGAACACCAGUGGCGAAGGCGGCUCACUGGUCCGGUACUGACGCUGAGGUGCGAAAGCAUGGGGAGCAAACAGG
rnacentral:rRNA from 1 species